GAUGAAGAACGUAGCGAAAUGCGAUACGUAAUGUGAAUUGCAGAAUUCAGUGAAUCAUCGAGUCUUUGAACGCACAUUGCGCCCCCUGGUAUUCCGGGGGGCAUGCCUGUUCGAGCGUCAUUGCUGCCCUCAAGCCCGGCUUGUGUGUUGGGUCUCGUCCCCCUUCCCGGGGGGACGGGCCCGAAAGGCAGCGGCGGCACCGCGUCCGGUCCUCGAGCGUAUGGGGCUUUGUCACCCGCUCUGUAGGCCCGGCCGGCGCUUGCCGAUCAACCAAAACUUUUUUCCAGGUUGACCUCGGAUCAGGUAGGGAUACCCGCUGAACUUAAGCAUAUCAAUAAGCGGAGGA
rnacentral:misc_RNA from 1 species